GUCAAAGUGCAACUUGGGCUCCUAAACACUGCCAUGGAAAAUACAUCAGCAAAACUUUAUCAUUCAAAUGUAUUUCAGGCAUCAAAUAGAAAACGAUUAUAGUGAGACAUGAAAGAGAUUAACAUUGAAAGGCAAGAUCACCUCAGGUUGCUGUGAGUACACAACGUGGUGGAAUUCAUUGUACAUACUAUUUGAAAACGUUGGUGUGGAGGCACAUUGCCGCGCUGAUCUGAAACCAAGAGGACAUUGAUACAUUCAAAGCUGGGAGAAGCGUGGAGGCAGGGCCAGACCGUCACAGCUAAGCAGCUCACUGAGGGCAGAUUAAUAACAAGUUACUCUGAUGACUAGGUGCCUGAGCUCACUGCCCAUAUGUCACACCAUUACAGUAUCUUAAAUGAGAUUGUCGUGAUGUCCAGGACACAAUGAAGGACACAUAUGGAGAACCAGAAUCCAGAGAUGCAAGGGGGUGUGAUGGAGUCAUGUGUAUAUGUCCAUGUGUUUGCACCUGUACCCAUAAGUGUGAAGAUGAUGUCAAAGCCAGGUAUCUCCCCCUAUUUUUGCAGGGUCUCUCAGUGAACCUGGGGUUCACUAACUAAGCAAAGCUAUUAGGCCAGCAAGUCCUGUGGAUUAUUUUAAUCAUCUCUGCCCCUGAUGCUGGGGCUCUAAAGGUGUGCCACUGUGCUGGACUUAUUGCAUUAGUGAUGGGUGGUCCAAAUCCAAAUCUUCAUGCUUCCUCAGUAACCACUUUACUGAAGGAGCCUUCUCCUCAGUCCUCAACUGUGGCUUUUACAGUCCA